rnacentral:rRNA from 1 species
ACAAUGGAGAGUUUGAUCCUGGCUCAGGAUGAACGCUAGCGGCAGGCCUAACACAUGCAAGUCGAGGGGUAACAGGAAAGCUUGCUUUCGCUGACGACCGGCGCACGGGUGCGUAACGCGUAUGCAACCUACCUCAUACUGGAGGAUAGCCCCUGGAAACGGGGAUUAAUACUCCAUAGUAUCACGAAUUCGCAUGUUUUUGUGAUUAAAGUUUUUCGGUAUGAGAUGGGCAUGCGUCCCAUUAGCUUGUUGGUGAGGUAACGGCUCACCAAGGCAACGAUGGGUAGGGGGCCUGAGAGGGUGGUCCCCCACACUGGUACUGAGACACGGACCAGACUCCUACGGGAGGCAGCAGUGAGGAAUAUUGGUCAAUGGAGGCAACUCUGAACCAGCCAUGCCGCGUGAAGGAUGACGGCCCUAUGGGUUGUAAACUUCUUUUAUAGAGGAAGAAACUUGUCUACGUGUAGACAACUGACGGUACUCUACGAAUAAGGAUCGGCUAACUCCGUGCCAGCAGCCGCGGUAAUACGGAGGAUCCAAGCGUUAUCCGGAUUCAUUGGGUUUAAAGGGUCCGUAGGCGGGUCUUUAAGUCAGUGGUGAAAGCCGACAGCUCAACUGUCGAACUGCCAUUGAUACUGGAGACCUUGAGUACAAAUGAAGUAGGCGGAAUGAGUCAUGUAGCGGUGAAAUGCAUAGAUAUGACUCAGAACACCGAUUGCGAAGGCAGCUUACUAACAUGUAACUGACGCUGAGGGACGAAAGCGUGGGGAGCGAACAGGAUUAGAUACCC